GAAAUAACAUAAAAUUGAACUUCUAAUUCAAUUAAAAUAUAAAUUAUUUUAUUUUU
rnacentral:tRNA from 1 species